ACAGAAUAUAAAAGACUGUGUGUGUGUGUGUGUGUACACACAUACACACACAGAGACACAGUCUUUUAUCUUCUGUUU